CCUACGGGUGGCAGCAGUGGGGAAUAUUGCACAAUGGGCGAAAGCCUGAUGCAGCAACGCCGCGUGAAGGAAGACGGCUUUCGGAUUGUAAACCUCUGUUCUUAGUGAAGAAUAAUGCCGGUAAUUAAGGAGCAAGCCCCGGCUACCUACGUGCCAGCAGCGGCGGUAAUACGUAGGUGGCAAGCGUUGUCCGGAAUUAUUGGGUGUAAAGGGAGCGUAGGCGGGAAGCCAAGUCAGCAGUGAAAACUACGGGCUUAACCUGGAGACUGCAGUUGAAACUGGCAUGCUUGAGUGAAGUAGAGGUUGGCGGAAUUCCGAGUGUAGCGGUGAAAUGCGUAGAUAUUCGGAGGAACACCGGUGGCGAAGGCGGCCGACUGGGCUGUAACUGACGCUGAGGCUCGAAAGUGUGGGGAGCAAACAGGAUUAGAUACCCCAGUAGUC
rnacentral:rRNA from 1 species